AAUGGUUGGACACUUAGCAUAUUAGGCUUUUAUUAUAUAGGAUUCUAAAAUUUAUAAAUAUUUAAAAGAACAUUUUUAAAAUCUGAAAGCAUGUAUUGUAUGAUUUUCUUCGCUCCUUUCCUCCCUCCCUUCCUCCCUCCCUCCCUUCCUUCCUUCCUUCCUUCCUUCCUUCCUUCCUUCCUUCCUUCUUUCCACCCACCCAUACAUCCAUCUGUUCUUCCAUCAAUUCUCUCUAUAUAUACAUAAAGAGAUGCCUGUAAUGCUGUCCACCACAUUUUAAGGACUCCUGUAUAUGACUCUUGGAAUUUGUGGUUGCAACAGUUUUCAGAAAUGAUCAGAGUCCAGUGACAAGCAACAAAACCCGUGGUCUGAGUCUCACUCCCAUUUCCUGGUGUCUUCAUCUUCCUCCCCAUUUGUCUUCCCAUCAUUGCUGUUCUGUGUACCAAGCCAAGAGCCCAGAAAUAUCUGACUAAAACAAGUCAAGUGUUCACAUAUGUUGAUUUCCAAAAAAGCCAACCAAAACAGAAAUGAACUAAAAAGGACAAAAUAUUAAAAAUUCUUCUAAAUCAUUUACUUUUCAGUGGGCCUCCAUUUUGGAUUUCUAGUAUAUGUUCUUUCUGAAGCUCCUGUCUUCCAGGCUCACAGAAUCUGCAGUGGCAGCAUUUAUCUUUUUGAGUGUGUCCAAGUUUAAGGUUUGAAGUAAUUAUGAAGAACAUCUGACUAGGAGAAAAACAAAAGCCAAUAAGAAAACUUGUGAAAAGGGGAGAAAAGUCAAGUAUGGUCGGCCCUGAUAUGUACCAUGAAGAGCCCUCUUCAAGGAAAGAUUUGCUGACCAGCAGUAGGAAAUGCAACCAGUAGACAGCCUCCAGCUGUCAGCUUCUUCAGGAGCUGCCUCAGCUGCAGAGUCUCUGCCUGAAGUCAUGCCCAUCUUGGGGCAGUCUGGAUCUGGUGACUGAACAUGGGCUGGUCAUUUUUUUUCAGGGAUAUAAAGUCCCAGGCAGUUAUUUUGGGACAAUGCCAAAGGACAUUUUUCACUCCAGAGCUCCCACUAGGCUGGCCUAUGUUGCAGUUUGACUUUUCCCUCUGCCAAUCCUGCUCCCCCCACUUUCUGUCACGGGUGUUGAUUUUAAUAAACAUCUUGUGCCCAAAA